rnacentral:piRNA from 1 species
UAAUAAACCGAGUUUAAUUCCUAAGACCCA